rnacentral:lncRNA from 13 species
GGGGUUCAUCGAUUAACCUCCUUAGUUGGUGGGGGUUCUUGCAGGAACCUAACUGCCCAACUGAAAGAUUUGGAUUUGAAUUUGAAGGGGGUGCAGGUCCAGGCAUUUAAAUGAAAAAUGUAAAGAUCUCCUCAAUUUAAGGUAUACAGAUGAGGAAGCAUACAAAGGUAUAUCAAUUGGUAUUGGUAUGUUAUGCAGAUCACACGCCGUCCUCCUCCCUUACCUAUUCAAUGAAAAUCACGUAGGCCUCUACAUUAUGGACAAGACUUCAGCCCCUCCCUACACCUCUGAUGAUAUAACAGGAAACCAGUUAGAUCACCAUGCACUGCAUAAUCAUUCUGGCUAUGGAUACGGAGAACAUCAAAACAUUUACUUCAACACGGAAGAGGAUAUACCAAUUGGACUUGGGGCUCUGCUGGGAGUUUACCUCAUUAUUUUGAUUUUUUAUUCUGCUUUGCCACUAAAAUCAUGAAGAACACUGACAACUAAAUUAUUGUUCUAUUGUUAUGCGGGGGUUUAGUUAAAAAAUGAACCCCAAGGUCAACAGGUUCUUCAAGGAUCCCUUAAAGGGGGUCGACCUUAACCCAAUUGAGAUGGUGUGGGAUGAGUUGGACCUCAGAGUGAAGGAAAAGCAGCCAACAAGUGCUUAGCAUUUGUGGGAACUCCUUAAAGACUAUUGGAAAAGCAUUCCUCAUGAAGCUGGCUGAGAGAAUAACAAGAGUGUGCAACGCUGUCAUCAAGGCAAAGGGUGGCUACUUUGAAGAAUCUCAAAUAUGAAAUAUAUUUGGAUUUGUUUAACACCUUUUCAGUUACUACAUGAUUCCAUAUGUGUUAUUUCAUAUUGUUGAUGUUUUCACUAUUAUUCUACAAUGUAGAAAAUAGUACAAAUGAAGAAAAACCCUUGAAUGAGAAGGCUUGUUCAAACUUUUGACUGGUACUGUAUAUUUAAACUCGGAAUAAUUCUUAUUUGGAUGGAAAACCAGCCUUUGCAUUUUAGCCUACGCAGUUACAAAUGACGUCGACAUUCCUUAAUUCGCUCCAUAGCGUUAUGGAAAAAGGGUUUAUUGGAUUAAUGUGGCAACUCUCUUGCUGUGGAGAGAAAAAUUUGCAUCAGUUUUGAGACGUCAUUGACUAGAAUUUUGUAGACCUGGCAACCCUGGUCAAGAGAUUCGGGAAGUAAACAAACUGAUGGAGCUGUCAAAAAAAGAAAACAAGACGUUGCCAGCUUCUUGCAAGUGAUACAGUUGCCAUGACUGCUUGUAUCAUUUUACUUGUCGUACUUUCCGGAACAUCAAGCUAGGGGUACAUUUGACGAAGGUAAAUUUAGCAAGGGUAAUUUAGCUUGGCUAGCUAGCUAACGUUACUGUAGCAAGCUAACGAAAGGAAAGACGACCCGGCUAGCAAACUAACAGUAGCUUCCCACCCCCACCAUGAAUAACCAGACAUCUCAUCAUAUCAAUAAUAUAUCAUCAGUUAAUUGUAAAGUCAAUGUGUCAUUACAAAAUCGUUAGAUGAAGCUAGCUAUGUGGAUUGUCACUUUUACAUGGCAACAAGCUAACGUUAGUUAGUUUAGUACAGUAGCUAACGUUAGCUAGGUCCACUCCACUGGCUGCUACUAGCCAGAGCUACUCAGCUAACCAGGCAAGAAUUCCUGUAGGUUUCAGAGAAGAAAUUUAGUUCAUCACAGAUAAUAAAUUCACUAGCUAUGUCUGUGUUGCCAGGUAGAUAAUGUAAAAGGAAUCUAACGUUACUU